AUCAAGCAGCUGCUUGCGCCAAAUUAAGUUUUUCUUAGGGUUAGAAUGCAAAGUUGAAACUCUUGGGUCCUUUUUCAUUAAUGUGCUCAAUUUCUGAUGUUGGACGCAGUCCCCAUGAUUGCAGUGCAUCAGUUACCAUCUAUUCAGUGGAGCUCGGUCUCCCUUUGUGAGGGAAUAGAGAUGUGGAAGCCCAGCAUGUAGGGCCAAACCCUGACCUUGGUUCUGUGACAUCACCAGGGGAAGUUGGACAUGAAGUCAGUUUGUGUCUUUACCUCUGCCUCUCUGUGUUGGUAAGACACUUUCUCUGAUGAAAGCUGCCCUAUAAGCACAAAGUAUUCCUGUGACUCAGGUUUGCUUUUGGUCACAGAUCCUGUGUAUCAGUGUCCUCACUGAUGAGAUUAAGAGAGCUAUCAUUUACAUGAAAAGCAGAAGCCAGGGAAGCAGAUGCAGCACGAAGGAGCAUACGUGUGACAAAUCUCACUUGCGUCUGAAUUAAAGAGCAGUUCCUGGACUUAAAGUGCAACGGCAGGCUGGAAAUAAAGGAAAUCUUCCAUUUGCCUUGGAUACUGAUCUUCAGAACUGGACCAGAUCAGCUGUUGUGCUCUCUCAACGGUAGGAGCCUCAGGACAGUUGAAAGGAAAGGAUGAAACAGCAAUUUGUCAUCAGUGCAACUUCUAGCAAUCUUUGUGGUUAACAGACCGCAGUGGAUUUCCUUCCUCCUUGUGAAUUUACCUUAUCACUUUCUAAAUCCCGUUUCGUGCAAUACCAUGAGAAUGAUCAUCUAAUUUUGGUCCCUAAGACAAAAAACAAUAGGAGGCCAAGGAAAGAACGAAACCAUUUUUCCCAACAGAUAUUACAAAAACAUGCAACAAUUAUAGCACGUUGACAAAGAAAAUUACUAAAACCACUCAUUACAAAAUAACUCAGCAUUUCCUGCUGUGAUAAUGAAUUUGUUAUUUAGACCACUUCACUGUCUUUGAAAAAUCACCACCUGUAAUUGCUUUUCUAAGCUUCUGUUAAGGGUGUUUCUCUGUUUGGUGCCAUGAUGUCAAAUGAAAAAUGUGCCUUUUAAACUGAACACACCAUCUAGGCUUAAAUAAAGUCUUUCCAAACUCUUCUUCUA